GACGAACGCUGGCGGCGUGCCUAAUACAUGCAAGUAGAACGCUGAAGAGAGGAGCUUGCUCUUCUUGGAUGAGUUGCGAACGGGUGAGUAACGCGUAGGUAACCUGCCUUGAAGCGGGGGAUAACUAUUGGAAACGAUAGCUAAUACCGCAUAACAAUGGAUGACACAUGUCAUUUAUUUGAAAGGGGCAAUUGCUCCACUACAAGAUGGACCUGCGUUGUAUUAGCUAGUAGGUGAGGUAAUGGCUCACCUAGGCGACGAUACAUAGCCGACCUGAGAGGGUGAUCGGCCACACUGGGACUGAGACACGGCCCAGACUCCUACGGGAGGCAGCAGUAGGGAAUCUUCGGCAAUGGGGGCAACCCUGACCGAGCAACGCCGCGUGAGUGAAGAAGGUUUUCGGAUCGUAAAGCUCGGUUGUAAGUCAAGAACGGGUGUGAGAGUGGAAAGUUCACACUGUGACGGUAGCUUACCAGAAAGGGACGGCUAACUACGUG
rnacentral:rRNA from 1 species